rnacentral:rRNA from 1 species
UACGUAGGGUGCGAGCGUUGUCCGGAAUUAUUGGGCGUAAAGAGCUUGUAGGCGGUUUGUCGCGUCUGCCGUGAAAAUUCGAGGCUCAACCUCGAACUUGCGGUGGGUACGGGCAGACUAGAGUGUGGUAGGGGAGACUGGAAUUCCUGGUGUAGCGGUGAAAUGCGCAGAUAUCAGGAGGAACACCGAUGGCGAAGGCAGGUCUCUGGGCCACUACUGACGCUGAGACGCGAAAGCGUGGGGAGCAAACAGG